rnacentral:piRNA from 1 species
UCUCUGGGUGCAUGCUGCUUUUAAGAGC